rnacentral:rRNA from 1 species
GACGAACGUUGGCGGCGUGCUUAAUACAUGCAAGUCAACUGAAGCAGUGGUAGCAAUAUCGCUUUGGAGGUGGCGCACGGGUGAGUAACACGUAGGUAAUCUGCCUUCAGGUCUGGCAUAACUCCGGGAAACCGGGGCUAAUAGCAGAUGAUGCAGCGGCUCGACAUCGAGACAGUUGUUAAAGCUAUGGCGCCUGAAGAUGAGCCUGCGUCUGAUUAGCUAGUUGGCGGGGUAACGGCCCACCAAGGCAACGAUCAGUAGCUGGUCUGAGAGGAUGAUCAGCAACACGGGAAAGGAGACACGGGCCAGACUCCGACGGGAGGCAGCAGUAAGGAAUAUUGCGCAAUGGGAGAAAUCCUGAAGCAGCAACGCCGCGUGAGGGACGAAGGGCGUUUGCUUGUAAACCUCUGUAGUGAGAGAAAAAAAUCCCAAUCUUUGGGACAUGAUGGUAUCUCAAAAGUAAGCCCCGGCUAACUACGUG